rnacentral:rRNA from 1 species
AUGUACUCAGCUGCUUGUUUCGGUAUGCUAUUACUCAUUCUGUUGGUGGAUAUAGUGAUUAGUGAAAGCAUGUGGUUAAUCAUGUCCGAAAUUUAUUUUUUGAAGAUAUGUCAUCAUUGUCACUUCUACUUGGAAGGUUUGGUAGUUUACGAUGCCAAUAAUCCUUUUGUCACAGCAUCUCCUCCUUGGAAGGAUUUCACUGAUGGUACAGUACCAAUAAGUGGAAUAAACUCUACAGGUCAAAGGGAAAAUGGAAUGGGCUUCCAUAUGAUGGAUGUACAUGGGGGAAAUAAGUCUCAUAUCUUGGUGUUCCAAUCUCAGAUUGAAUUCUUCAACAAGAUUUAG